GCUGUAGCAAUACAGUGGCGUAGCCGAGCGGCGUAAGGGGCAGUAAUGCGUGGGUAACGUACCCUCCGGACUGGAAUAGCCAUGGGAAACCAUGGGUAAUGCCAGAUGAUGUUGCGAGAUCACUUGACCUUGCAACCAAACGUGUGAAUCGGCCGGGGGAGCGGCUCACGUCGUAUUAGCUAGUUGGUGAGGUGACGGCUCACCAAGGCAAAGAUGCGUAGCGGGUGUGAGAGCACGACCCGCGCCAUUCGCACUGAGACACUGGCGAGACACCUACGGGUGGCUGCAGUCGAGGAUCUUCGGCAAUGAGCGCAAGCUUGACCGAGCGACGCCGCGUGGAGGAUGAAGGCCUUCGGGUUGUAAACUCCUGUCGAGGGGGAGGAAAUCUAUCGGGGAACUCCCCGGUAGUUGACCUAUCCCUGGAGGAAGCAUGGGCUAAGUUCGUGCCAGCAGCCGCGGUAAGACGAACCAUGCAAACGUUGUUCGGAAUCACUGGGCUUAAAGGGCGCGUAGGCGGUCGAUCAAGUCCGGAGUGAAAUCUUUCGGCUCAACCGGAAAAGUGCUUUGGAUACUGAUCGGCUGGAAGGAGGUAGGGGUUGCGGGAACUACCAGUGGAGCGGUGAAAUGCGUUGAUAUUGGUAGGAACGCCGGUGGCGAAAGCGCGCAACUGGACCUCUUCUGACGCUGAGGCGCGAAAGCUAGGGGAGCAAACGGG
rnacentral:rRNA from 1 species